AUUGAACGCUGGCGGUAUGCUUAACACAUGCAAGUCGAACGGUAACAGGCCCUUCGGGGUGCUGACGAGUGGCGGACGGGUGAGUAAUGCUUAGGAAUCUGCCUAGUAGUGGGGGAUAACCCGGGGAAACUCGGGCUAAUACCGCAUACGCCCUACGGGGGAAAGCGGGGACUUUCGGGCCUCGCGCUAUUAGAUGAGCCUAAGUCCGAUUAGCUAGUUGGUAGGGUAAUGGCCUACCAAGGCGACGAUCGGAGCUGGUCUGAGAGGACGACCAGCCACACUGGGACUGAGACACGGCCCAGACUCCUACGGGAGGCAGCAGUGGGGAAUAUUGGACAAUGGGCGCAAGCCUGAUCCAGCCAUG
rnacentral:rRNA from 1 species